AAAUAUUUACAAGCAGCGAAAUAGUUUUUGAAAUCAAAAUCCAAAGUAUUCAAACAUCAAAAUACACUGGGGCUAUGAGGUCUAUCAGACAUAGCUCAUACCCCUGUGGUAUUCUCGGCAGACACCUAUACAAAUGCACUGCCCCAAGAAUUUUAACUCCCACAUCACAUCAAAAAGUGGUACAUGGAACCCAUCCAAAUAAAAUGUCAAGCUAACAAUAUUGGUAUAGGUACAGUCUUCCAAAUUAAAAUAAACACAACCCAAAAAGAAAGACAUCUAGUCCCUAUACGUCAACCUAAUCUGAUCAUUCUACACAAAAUUAUACAUCCUAGAUGAUCUUCACCCGCCCCGCAAGAUCCUCCUAACACAGCUCCAGUCAGGUGUGUCCAACUACCUUCCCAUCUACAGGGUAUUAACCGAUAGGAUGAUCCUGGUUCUCAUCUGAGGGCAAAGCUCAGAUUUCCACAAUAGUUGUAAAGGGUCACCAACUGAAAUUAACAAUUAACACAUAACAUUUAAGUUUUUAAAUGCACAAAAUAACAUUUCAACUUAGCAUGCACCUUAAAAGGGUUUCUAUAUUCCAAACAUGCAUAAACAAGGUUGAAAAAUGAAGUUUUGAACAAAACUGCGCUGUUGUAUUUGAAUACAACAUCUCUGUAUUCGAAUACUAGGCUGUUUCAGCAGUCAGCAGCAAAAACAACAUGUUUGUAUUCAAAUACAGCCUUCUGUAUUCGACUACACAUAAGUCAGCAGCAAAAACAACAUGUUUGUAUUCGAAUACAACCUUCUGUAUUCGAAUACACAUCAGACAGCAUCAGAAAAACAACAAAAUUCAGCUUUUAAAAGGAUUUUGAAAUCAAUCAAUACUUACACACAAAUCCAAACAAUCACACUUAGCAAUUAUAGCACAAUCACCAUGACGACUUGAGUUUCGAAAAGGUUUUGGAAUCAAUCACACUUACACACAAUUUCAAAACAUUAACACUUAUCAAUUAUAGCACAAUCACCACGACAACUUGAGUUUCGAAAUGGUUUUGCAAUCAAUCACACUUACACACAAUUCCACAACAUCCACACUUCACAAUUAUAACACAAUCACCAUGACAACUUGAGUUCAAACACUCAAUCAUAAUAUUGAAUCAAACAUGACUCGCGUGCCAAGCACCCUAACGAAAUGCGUAUAUGCCAAAAUGCAUGGACUCGAAAUUCCAAACCAAAACCCUCAUCGAAGGGGCGUAAAUCAUAAUUGUAUCGCCUAUCACAGGCCUUAUACAAAUUAUCAAGGUGCCACCCAUCACAGGCCCACACGACUUACUAAAGUGUCGCCUAUAACAUGCCUUACACUAUUUUCUAGAGUGCAAUCGCUCACAGAUCAACACGUUCUAGAGUGCAAUCUCUCACAGAUCAGCACGACGCGAUAAUCUCCGUAAGGAUAAGAUGAACCAACAAAUCACAUGGAAUCAUCUCGUGGCUCAUCCGGUCACCACUAUCACCAUGGCCCAUCCGGUCGCCAUGUACAAUGAAAUGCAUGAGCAUACUCUGACUUUAUCCAUGACAAUCAUUAAGUAAAUGCAGAUAUUAAAAGAUUCUCCAUUUUUAAUACUCAUUUAACUCUAACGAUUUUCACGAUAAUUCAUUAAGUAAACACAGAUAUUAAAAGAUUCCCCAUUUUUAAUACUCGUUUAACUCUAAUGAUUUUCAAAUUCCACACAGAGCAUACUCAAACAUUUAUUUUCCACCACACACAUCAAAUUUAAUCCACAAUAUACAUUAAAUUCGAUCAAAUCAAAUUCCACAAAAUCCACAACAAAUUCAAUCAUCAAUCACCCAUAAUUUCCACAUUUUCAACAUGAAUCAUGACAAAUCAAGUGUCACAAACCACACCUCAAACAUCUCAAAUUUUAUUUCCUCAAAACAGACAUAAAUGAAUCAAACUCAUUUCCCACCAAUUCACAUAAGUUUCUUCUUCAAAAUUUCAUAAUUUUAAUUUAUGAACACAUCAGAUUUCUUUUCCUCAACAACACAUAGAUGAAUCAAAUCCUUUUCCAUGAAAACACUCAUCAAUUUCACUAAAAACCCAACUCCAAACUUUCACCCAUAAAAGUAUUAAAUUCAUUUUCCCCAAAUCUACACUUCAAACCCAACAAAUUUAUUUUCCACACAACCACAAAUAAGUCCCUAAAUGCAAACUAAAAGUUUGGAAGGAGCCCUUACCUUUACGAUAGCUCUAACGUGCGAUUACCGUAAUUAAUUCCGAUAAAAUCUCUACUCGUGACGUCGCUUCCAAAGUUAGUUCACUAGCACCGUAGCAUGUAGGUGAGCAACUUUCCCUUCUAUCACUUCUCGAAACGAAGCUCAAACGUCGAAGAAAAGUGGAGUUUUGUGAUUGACGGUUUUGAAAAUCUUUAAUACCGUUUUUCUCCAUUUUUGAAUCAAAGAAGAAGAAGAAAGCUGAAAAUUUGUUCUUUCUCACCCACUAAGCCUUGAGUUUCUUUUCUUGAAGCAAAAGAAGGCAAAAGAAAGUGGAAGUAAGGAGGAAGAAGAAGAAGGGUUCUCGCAAGGCUGGGAGGAAGACGCUUUCUUCCCUCUGUUUCCUUGUUU
rnacentral:lncRNA from 1 species